rnacentral:rRNA from 1 species
AACGUAGGUGGCAAGCGUUAUCCGGAUUUACUGGGCGUAAAGCGUGUGCAGACGGGUCAACAAGUAGUGUAUGAAAACUUCGGGCUUAACCCGGAGACUGUAUGCUAGACUGUUGGUCUAGGGUGUGAGAGAGGGAGAUGGAAUUCCGGGUGUAGUGGUGAAAUGCGUAGAGAUCCGGAGGAACCCCAGAGGCGAAGGCGGUCUCCUAGCUCACAACCGACGUUCAGACACGACAGCAUGGGGAGCAAACGGG